rnacentral:rRNA from 1 species
AUGCAAAAGAUAUCAGUCUCCAAACAGCAUUUGCCGGCUUCUGCACUCAAGACCAUUCCCCUUGCCUGGCCUUUUGCCGUCUGGGGACUGGACAUGGUGGGACUGUUCAAGAUAGCACGCGGCGGCAUGACUCAUCUGCUUGUCGCUGUGGACAAAUUCACCAAGUGGUUUGAAGCGAAGCCAAUCAAAAAGUUGAACGGUCCGACUGCUGUGACUUUCAUCACAGACAUCACCACUCGGUACAGCGUACCUCACAGCAUCAUCACCGAUAAUGGCACAAAUUUUGCCAAAGGUGCCUUGGCCCGUUUCUGUGCGACGCAGGGCAUCCGACUAGACUUAGAGUCCGUUGCCCACCCACAGUCAAACGGCCAAGUCGAGCGAGCAAACAGCCUCAUUUUGUCCGGAAUCAAGCCCUGA